rnacentral:tRNA from 1 species
UGGCGUCCCCAGGGGGAUUCGAACCCCCGUUACCGCCGUGAAAGGGCGAUGUCCUAGGCCUCUAGACGAUGGGGAC